AUUGAACGCUGGCGGCAUGCCUUACACAUGCAAGUCGAACGGUAACGGGCCUUCGGGUGCCGACGAGUGGCGGACGGGUGCGUAAUACAUCGGAACGUGCCCGAUCGUGGGGGAUAACGAGGCGAAAGCUUUGCUAAUACCGCAUACGAUCUACGGAUGAAAGCAGGGGACCGCAAGGCCUUGCGCGGACGGAGCGGCCGAUGGCAGAUUAGGUAGUUGGUGGGAUAAAAGCUUACCAAGCCGACGAUCUGUAGCUGGUCUGAGAGGAUGAUCAGCCACACUGGGACUGAGACACGGCCCAGACUCCUACGGGAGGCAGCAGUGGGGAAUUUUGGACAAAGGGCGCAAGCCUGAUCCAGCCAUGCCGCGUGCAGGAUGAAGGCCUUCGGGUUGUAAACUGCUUUUGUACGGAACGAAAAGCCUUCUUUUAAUACAGGAGGGUCAUGACGGUACCGUAAGAAUAAGCACCGGCUAACUACGUG
rnacentral:rRNA from 1 species